rnacentral:rRNA from 1 species
CCCAAACUGGGAUUAGAUACCCCACUAUGCUUAGCCCUAAACCUAGAUAGUUAGCUCAAACAAAACUAUCCGCCAGAGAACUACUAGCAACAGCUUAAAACUCAAAGGACUUGGCGGUGCUUUAUAUCCCUCUAGAGGAGCCUGUUCUAUAAUCGAUAAACCCCGAUAAACCUCACCAUCUCUUGCUAAUUCAGCCUAUAUACCGCCAUCUUCAGCA